rnacentral:piRNA from 1 species
UGCCCGGGACAGCUGUGAAUUGCUAGA